AUCCAGAUGACGAGUUCCAAAUAGGACGAAAUUCAUAUCCUAGAU
rnacentral:hammerhead_ribozyme from 1 species